rnacentral:rRNA from 1 species
CAGCCGCCGCGGUAAUACGAAGGGUGCAAGCGUUACUCGGAAUUACUGGGCGUAAAGCGUGCGUAGGUGGUGGUUUAAGUCCGUUGUGAAAGCCCUGGGCUCAACCUGGGAAUUGCAGUGGAUACUGGGUCACUAGAGUGUGGUAGAGGAUAGUGGAAUUUCCGGUGUAGCAGUGAAAUGCGUAGAGAUCGGAAGGAACAUCUGUGGCGAAGGCGACUAUCUGGGCCAACACUGACACUGAGGCACGAAGGCGUGGGGAGCAAACAGGAUUAGAUACCCCGGUAGUCCCUGUCUCUUAUAC